GACGAACGCUGGCGGCGUGCUUAACACAUGCAAGUCGAACGGAAAGGCCCUGCUUUUGUGGGGUGCUCGAGUGGCGAACGGGUGAGUAACACGUGAGUAACCUGCCCUUGACUUUGGGAUAAUUUCAGGAAACUGGGGCUAAUACCGGAUAGGAGCUCCUGCUGCAUGGUGGGGGUUGGAAAGUUUCGGCGGUUGGGGAUGGACUCGCGGCUUAUCAGCUUGUUGGUGGGGUAGUGGCUUACCAAGGCUUUGACGGGUAGCCGGCCUGAGAGGGUGACCGGCCACAUUGGGACUGAGAUACGGCCCAGACUCCUACGGGAGGCAGCAGUGGGGAAUAUUGCACAAUGGGCGGAAGCCUGAUGCAGCAACGCCGCGUGCGGGAUGACGGCCUUCGGGUUGUAAACCGCUUUCGCCUGUGACGAAGCGUGAGUGACGGUAAUGGGUAAAGAAGCACCGGCUAACUACGUGCCAGCAGCCGCGGUGAUACGUAGGGUGCGAGCGUUGUCCGGAUUUAUUGGGCGUAAAGGGCUCGUAGGUGGUUGAUCGCGUCGGAAGUGUAAUCUUGGGGCUUAACCCUGAGCGUGCUUUCGAUACGGGUUGACUUGAGGAAGGUAGGGGAGAAUGGAAUUCCUGGUGGAGCGGUGGAAUGCGCAGAUAUCAGGAGGAACACCAGUGGCGAAGGCGGUUCUCUGGGCCUUUCCUGACGCUGAGGAGCGAAAGCGUGGGGAGCGAACAGGCUUAGAUACCCUGGUAGUCCACGCUGUAAACGGUGGGUACUAGGUGUGGGGUCCAUUCCACGGGUUCCGUGCCGUAGCUAACGCUUUAAGUACCCCGCCUGGGGAGUACGGCCGCAAGGCUAAAACUCAAAGGAAUUGACGGGGCCCCGCACAAGCGGCGGAGCAUGCGGAUUAAUUCGAUGCAACGCGUAGAACCUUACCUGGGUUUGACAUGGAUCGGGAGCGCUCAGAGAUGGGUGUGCCUCUUUUGGGGUCGGUUCACAGGUGGUGCAUGGCUGUCGUCAGCUCGUGUCGUGAGAUGUUGGGUUAAGUCCCGCAACGAGCGCAACCCUUGUUCACUGUUGCCAGCACGUUAUGGUGGGGACUCAGUGGAGACCGCCGGGGUCAACUCGGAGGAAGGUGGGGAUGACGUCAAGUCAUCAUGCCCCUUAUGUCCAGGGCUUCACGCAUGCUACAAUGGCUGGUACAGAGAGUGGCGAGCCUGUGAGGGUGAGCGAAUCUCGGAAAGCCGGUCUCAGUUCGGAUUGGGGUCUGCAACUCGACCUCAUGAAGUCAGAGUCGCUAGUAAUCGCAGAUCAGCAACGCUGCGGUGAAUACGUUCCCGGGGCU
rnacentral:rRNA from 1 species